rnacentral:rRNA from 1 species
GUAGUCCACACUGUAAACGAUGGAUACUAGGUGUAGGCACGAACGUGUCUGUGCCGGCGCUAACGCAAUAAGUAUCCCACCUGGGGAGUACGACCGCAAGGUUGAAACUCAAAGGAAUUGACGGGGGCCCGCACAAGCAGUGGAGUAUGUGGUUUAAUUCGACGCAACGCGAAGAACCUUACCAAGACUUGACAUAUACUGGAAUACUUGGGAAAUCAAGUAGCCCUUCGGGGCUGGUAAACAGGUGAUGCAUGGUUGUCGUCAGCUCGUGUCGUGAGAUGUUGGGUUAAGUCCCGCAACGAGCGCAACCCUCGUGAUUAGUUGCUCAGAUAAUGAGAACUCUAAUCAGACUGCCGUAGUUAAUACGGA